rnacentral:tRNA from 1 species
GGGGUGUUAGUAAAACAAUUACAUAUCCUUGUCAAGGCUAAAUUAUAGGUGAAAACCCUGUACACCCUA